GUAGGAGGCAAACGUUGUCCGGAUUUACUGGGUGUAAAGGGUGCUCAGGCGGUCUUGUAAGUUAGAAGUGAAAUCUCAGAGCUUAACUCUGAAACUGCUUUUAAUACUGCGAGGCUUGAGUGCAGAAGAGGCGGAUGGAAUUUCUGGUGUAGCAGUGAAAUGCGUAGAUAUCAGAAAGAACACCAGUGGCGAAGGCGGUCCGCUGGUCUGUCACUGACGCUAAAGCACGAAAGCGUGGGGAGCAAACAGGAUUAGAUACCCUGGUAGUCCACGCCUUAAACGAUGAAUACUAGACGUUGGGGUAAAACUCAGUGUCGCAGCUAACGCAUUAAGUAUUCCACCUGGGGAGUACGAUCGCAAGGUUGAA
rnacentral:rRNA from 1 species